rnacentral:rRNA from 1 species
GAUGAACGCUGGCGGCGUGCCUAAUACAUGCAAGUCGAGCGAACAGAUGAGGAGCUUGCUCCUCUGACGUUAGCGGCGGACGGGUGAGUAACACGUGGUUAACCUACCUAUAAGACUGGGAUAACUUCGGGAAACCGGAGCUAAUACCGGAUAAUAUAUUGAACCGCAUGGUUCAAUAGUGAGAGACGGUUUUGCUGUCACUUAUAGAUGGAUCCGCGCCGCAUUAGCUAGUUGGUAAGGUAACGGCUUACCAAGGCAACGAUGCGUAGCCGACCUGAGAGGGUGAUCGGCCACACUGGAACUGAGACACGGUCCAGACUCCUACGGGAGGCAGCAGUAGGGAAUCUUCCGCAAUGGGCGAAAGCCUGACGGAGCAACGCCGCGUGAGUGAUGAAGGUCUUCGGAUCGUAAAACUCUGUUAUUAGGGAAGAACAAAUGUGUAAGUAACUAUGCACGUCUUGACGGUACCUAAUCAGAAAGCCACGGCUAACUACGUG